AUUUUAUUUUGUGAUGUGAUGUGAGCGCAGGUGCAACCCAACAGGCCCCAAACGUUCCUGGCAGCAAGUAAAAAUGAAAUAUAAAAAUAUAGUCCAAACAGGUAAGGUGUAAUUGUAUUAUGAGCCAUAGUGCUUGGUCUGUUUGUCCUAUGUAAAUCAAUUGCAGUUAGAGGCUACAUUCAUUUUCUUUCUGUAAGCACUUAUUGAAAUUAUCUGAGCACAUUACAAGUACAUAUUUGCUUACUCUGUAUGCUCAAAUGUGACCCGUUAUAGCCAACAGAAAAAAAGCGGAGGGCCAAACAACAGGUGGGGGUCCUCCACCACCACCACCACUCACAGAGGCGGAGCAGUUGGCCCUCAGCCAAAACAGUGGGCGCCCUGUGGCUGAAGGCAUCUCUGCGGGGACAUCCUCUGAGUCAAUAACCCCGCAAGACACAAGUGCCUACAUAAGAGGAAAAUAAUGAAGAAACAUUGACAGCUGUUACAGAGGAGGAAGCAACAGAGACACUUUAUGAGAGUGAUGAUGGAAAUGCAGAGGAAGAGGGUCCAGCCACUUCUCCAACAAACCUUUCCUCAGUAAGAUGUUCAGCACUGAUUUACAACCAACCUAAGUAGGCAUGUACUAUGAAUGUCAAUGC